rnacentral:lncRNA from 1 species
UCAGAUAUCCAUACAUCCUGAAUGGAUGCCUCAAAUCAAUGCAUGGUUUUCCAGAUUUGAGGUUCGUGUUAAUAUAUAAUUUUCAGCUUAUUUCUAAUAAAUUCUUAAUAUAAUUGUAAAUAAAUUAUUAACAUUUUUAAAAUUUAUUUUUUAUACACAGAAUCGAUUCUGCUGGAACGAAGAACAUAACAAUGUUGUGAGGAGGGUGUGGGAAAAUCACGCGGCAACUAGGUAACAUCGAAAACAAUACAACUUUUUUU